ACUGCUCCAGAACACGUGGAUAACCUGCCCUUGGGACCGGCAUAACCCCGGGAAACUGGGGAUAAUUCCGGAUAACGCAUAUUUGCUGGAAUGCUUUAUGCGUCAAAAGGAUUCGUCUGCCCAAGGAUGGGUCUGCGGCCUAUCAGGUAGUAGUGGGUGUAAUGUACCUACUAGCCAGCGACGGGUACGGGUUGUGAGAGCAAGAGCCCGGAGAUGGAUUCUGAGACAUGAAUCCAGGCCCUACGGGGCGCAGCAGGCGCGAAAACUUUACAAUGCGGGAAACCGUGAUAAGGGGACACCGAGUGCCAGCAUCAUAUGCUGGCUGUCCGGAUGUGUAAAAUACAUCCGUUAGCAAGGGCCGGGCAAGACCGGUGCCAGCCGCCGCGGUAACACCGGCGGCCCGAGUGGUGAUCGUGAUUAUUGGGUCUAAAGGGUCCGUAGCCGGUUUGGUCAGUCCUCCGGGAAAUCUGAUAGCUCAACUAUUAGGCUUUCGGGGGAUACUGCCAGACUUGGAACCGGGAGAGGUAAGAGGUACUACAGGGGUAGGAGUGAAAUCUUGUAAUCCCUGUGGGACCACCUGUGGCGAAGGCGUCUUACCAGAACGGGUUCGACGGUGAGGGACGAAAGCUGGGGGCACGAACCGGAUUAGAUACCCGGGUAGUCCCAGCCGUAAACGAUGCUCGCUAGGUGUCAGGCAUGGCGCGACCGUGUCUGGUGCCGCAGGGAAGCCGUGAAGCGAGCCACCUGGAAGUACGC
rnacentral:rRNA from 1 species